GGCCAUUUCUCGAGCCAUCUCACGGAGUUCCUCUGGAGGUGGAGGGCGAAGGCUGUGGGUAGGAUACACCACAUACGAGCGGAAUCCCAUGAGCUUGUGGAGGGUCUUGGACUCGGUGGCAACGGCGUAGGUGAGAACCGCCGGGAUGGUGACGUAGACGGCGAACUUGGCGAUCUCGAGGAUCCCCUUCGACGUCCCCAGCGACGACAUCGUCGAAUCUCUCGGCUCAGAUGAGCGGUGCGAUCUGGUAAGCCAAG
rnacentral:misc_RNA from 1 species